UUCAUCAAAAUAAAAUGAUAGUUUUUUAUUUUCUUUGCUUUUAUUUAUAUUUUGGUGCUGCUUGCUUAAUUUUUAUAGUUGAAGCCUCAUCUUGGGAUGCAUAAAAUAAAUAAAUAAAUAUUCGGAAAGAUCCCUUGUGCACACAUAUGCUGCCACAGGAUGGGGAACUAAAUCAAGGUAAUCUUAACAAAACCGCCCGAGAAGAAACCAAGUCAAGGCCGUAAUCUUUUUAAGUGGGUGCGAGGCAUCAGCGAGCGGUGAGGGCGAACCACAUCAAAACCAAGUCAAAACCUAGACAAACACACUUGUUAGCUUAUCAUGUUACCCAUGUUAAGCGUAUUAAUGGCAGCGAAGACGACGACAACGAUGACAACAAAUCCAAAAAAAAGGGCGUCAGCCAGGCAAACAAACAAGCAAACAAACAUCGAGGACACAAAACGUGCAGGAAGAAGUAAAAUAUUAAUAGCCAGCUACUAAAAUAGCAUGAGUCAAAAUCCGAGCACAAAACACAAAGAAUCGAGCAUCGAGGCCAAGGAACCAACGAGUUCUGAGGUCUCCGAAGGGUUCGGGAAUAUGGGUCGGUGGGUCGGUGAGUUGGUCGGAUGGUAGGUUGGUGGGUGGCUAAGCCACUUGCAAAGUCCUGGCUCAGACAGAACUCGGUAUGCAGCCAACCAUGAUGCCAUCAUGCCACAUUCCCUGUUCCCAGUUCCCAGUUCCCACAUUCCCUGAUCCUUGGAACUCUGGCUUAACCUCAAAGUUGUGUGCGGAUGCCUGUUAAUGUGUCAUUUCGUUGGAAUCGCGGGCCUUCCUUCUAUAUAUCUAUAAAUAGUAUAGAGGCCAAACUCACGCAACAUACUCGUAAAUGGAAGCUGAUUUAAUAGUUGAUUGUCUGCUUUGGAGCUAAGUAUCUAUUUAACUAAUAUUAGAAACGUCUGUACAAAAUUUUAUCGUUGAACGUACAAAGCAAUUUAUAAAUCAAUUAUUUACAAAUAAAAUUCAAGAAUUAUUUAGAUUUUAUUCAAAA